rnacentral:rRNA from 1 species
CCUACGGGUGGCAGCAGUAGGGAAUCUUUCACAAUGGGCGAAAGCCUGAUGGAGCAACGCCGCGUGCAGGAUGAAGGCCUUCGGGUUGUAAACUGCUUUUAUAAGCGAGAAAUAUGAUGGUAACUUAUGAAUAAGGAUCGGCUAAAUACGUGCCAGCAGCCGCGGUCAUACGUAGGAUCCGAGCAUUAUCCGGGGUGACUGGGUGUAAAGAGUUGCGUAGGUGGCAUAAUAAGUAGCUAGUGAAAUCUGGUGGCUCAACCAUUCAGACUAUUAGCUAAACUGUUAAGCUCGAGACCGGUAGGGGUAACUGGAAUUUCUAGUGUAGGAGUGAAAUCCGUAGAGAUUAGAAGGAACACCAAUAGCGUAGGCAGGUUGCUGGGACGGUUCUGACACUAAGGCACGAAAGCGUAGGGAGCAAACGGGAUUAGAUACCCCUGUAGUC